GGGCGCGAUGUGGGAGAGAUUCCGGGCGGCAGGGGCAUGGCUCCUUGUCAUUCGGGACGCCGAAGGAGCAACCGCCCCGGAAACUCUCAGGCAAAAGGACCGCCUCGCGUAU
rnacentral:ncRNA from 2 species